UACGUAUGUCCCGAGCGUUAUCCGGAUUUAUUGGGCGUAAAGCGAGCGCAGACGGUUGAUUAAGUCUGAUGUGAAAGCCCGGAGCUCAACUCCGGAAUGGCAUUGGAAACUGGUUAACUUGAGUGCAGUAGAGGUAAGUGGAACUCCAUGUGUAGCGGUGGAAUGCGUAGAUAUAUGGAAGAACACCAGUGGCGAAGGCGGCUUACUGGACUGUAACUGACGUUGAGGCUCGAAAGUGUGGGUAGCAAAC
rnacentral:rRNA from 2 species